CUGCUGAAUGUGUGGCAUCUUUUCAUGCCCUUUUUGCAAGAUACUGGAGUUGAUUUUACUUUGUUAGAUCCAUAGACAGCUCGAGAAAAUGAAGGCUGACUUUCAUGAUAUGUCACAUGAAAUGUGAAGGACAAGCUCUCAUACCAGGUAAUGUGUCCCUUGUUCUUCUGCCAUGAUUGUGAGGCCUCCCGAGCCAUGUGGAACUAGACAAGGUCUUUCUAUGCCCAGGCUGGUCUUGAAUUCCUGGCCUCAAGAUGUCUUCCCAACUUGACCUCCAAAAGUGCUGGGAUUAUAGGAAUCUUCAAAGGAAAUGUAAGAAAGCAUGAAAUCGUGCAAAAUGAAAUGAUGAAAAAUUCUGGUCAGCACACUGAAAUCAAGUUAUCGCAUGGAUGGGAAAGUUUUCUAAUAUGACCACUGUCUUCCGAUUUGUUCCUCUCUCCAACAUUUCCUGCUGCCUUCAGUUGACAACCUGAUUUACAUCACUUCUGAGAUGCUCAAGCUCAAAAAGAUUGUGUUAUGGAGACUUCA
rnacentral:lncRNA from 13 species